rnacentral:sRNA from 1 species
AAAUUCAACAACAAAACAUAGAGAAUCUUUCGAUUGAAAAACUCAAUUGAUUAAGGUAUUGUUCGUUUGAUCAGUUGACUGAUUCAUCUAGGUGCAGAUGACAACUGAUGUUUGUUUGGACACAAUUUGGUAGAACAGUUGGAUGCAUCAGUUAGCUGAGUUUAUUAAACUCAUCCAAAAAAUUCAAAAAUUUCAGCUGAGUUUGAUCGGUGCAUUGAGAUGCAUCAGCUGCAGUCAAAAACAGCAAAUGACUAAAAUACACCUUUAAAAAUUGAAGAACUACAAAAAGCCAUUUCUUACCCUACGGUUCUCGACAAUUCUGGACAAAGAAGAAAAAGAGAUCUUUAGGAUUCUUCACUUCCCUUUAUCUCUCACUCUUCGAUCUGCUUCUCCAUUAGCGUUAGCUCUCGAUCUUCUUUUCCAUUAGCGCUAGCUCGGUUCUAGGUAUACAUAUCUCUCUCUUUAUUUUUGAUUCUUACUUGUAAUAUAUUUCGGGGUUUAAUACUAGAGAAUUGUUUAACCGCAAGCACUCUGAUUUGCGUUCGAUAAUUGAGCGAACAUUUGGAGUCUGGAAGGCUAAGUGGAGGAUAUUGGAUCGCAAACACCCUUAAUAUGAGUUGAAAAAGUGGGUGAAACUUGUGACAACAACUAUGACUCUCCAUAAUGUUAUCAGAGAUUCAUGUCAAGAGGAUGCAGAUUUUGUACAUUGAGAAGCAGUGGAAGAAUAUGAACAUCAUGAUGAUGAAGUAGUAGAGAAUGAUGAAGUAGAAGACAAUGUUCCAAACACAGAUCAUGUACUGUACGUACCGGUUGGUGAUAGAGUGAUGAAAGAUGUACGUGAUUCUAUCACCGAAAAGAUAGUUAGAAGAUAUCGACUUUUAUAUUAGUGGUUAUUGUAGACAAAAAAAUAUUGUGUUUACAAUGAUGUAUUUCUGUUUUAUAUUCCUCAUUGUUUUUUUAUGUGCCUUCUUUUAACUUUAAUUAAUGAAUAUUUUUGAACAAAACUA